AUGUACAUUCCUACAACAUAGCAUUAAUGCACCAUAUCCUAUUAGAACUCUACAGUUCAAUGCGCUUAGGCUAGAGUAGUACUGGGAUGGGUGACCACCUUGGAAGUACUAGUGUUUUACAUG
rnacentral:rRNA from 1 species